AAACCUACAUAGACACGGGAAGAACGUGCAGACUCCACGCAGGGAGGACCCGGGAUGUGAACGUCAGUCCCCUUGCUGCAAGGCAAGCAGUAGCCUCCACUUCUCUCCUGCAAGCUCUGUCCUCUGCCACCCGACUCCGGCUCCUCGAGUGAUGCGGUCUCUUUUAUACUACACCCGGAAAAGCUUUAGGUGCUCCGUGAUCAACUUCCAGCAGCAUUGCCGUGUGUGGUGGAAGUGCUGCAUGCCAAGGCACCAGAGCUAUCCUGGCAGCCCCUGUCACCCACGAUGUAACCCAGGGGGCUGCCCUUUCAUAUCCAAGGGGAAAAAAAAAUUCAGAGGACGGAGUCAUUAAAAACACAGCAGUUCAAAUGAAGAGAAUGGAAGUCAAUUAACAGCAGAAACUGGUCCUUAAUGAAGAAAGUGGCAGAAAGGAAAACCAGCAGCCACUGCAGCCCUCCAGGAUCGGAGAUGGAGACCCCUGCUUUAAACACUUGACUGUAAGAAUACCAGUUCAGCACAAGCUUAUAAGAGGGAUGAACAUCUCUUUGACAGUCUCCCCUUUUUGUCAGUUAAAAUUUGAGGACUCGUGUGUUAUAACCCCACC